UACGUAGGGUGCAAGCGUUAAUCGGAAUUACUGGGCGUAAAGCGUGCGCAGGCGGUUUUGUAAGUCUGUCGUGAAAGCCCCGGGCUCAACCUGGGAAUUGCGAUGGAGACUGCAAGGCUUGAAUCUGGCAGAGGGGGUAGAAUUCCACGUGUAGCAGUGAAAUGCGUAGAGAUGUGGAGGAACACCGAUGGCGAAGGCAGCCCCUGGGUCAAGAUUGACGCUCAUGCACGAAGCGUGGGGAGCAAACAGG
rnacentral:rRNA from 1 species